rnacentral:rRNA from 1 species
UACGUAGGGUGCGAGCGUUGUCCGGAAUUACUGGGCGUAAAGAGCUCGUAGGUGGUUUGUCGCGUUGUCCGUGAGAACUCACAACUCAAUUGUGGGCGUGCGGGCGAUACGGGCAGACUGGAGUACUGCAGGGGAGACUGGAAUUCCUGGUGUAGCGGUGGAAUGCGCAGAUAUCAGGAGGAACACCGGUGGCGAAGGCGGGUCUCUGGGCAGUAACUGACGCUGAGGCGCGAAAGCUAGGGGAGCAAACGGG